CAACAAGAGAACUUUGUCCACCCCUGGGGUAAACUGAAUGUGUCAGCACUGCCCAGGUGUAAACACCUCUGUGAAAAUAUUUAUCCUGAGAUGUUGCCUACAUUUUUAAAUGCCUAACAUAGGCAAUUUGUCGUGUUUGUGAUGGCAAGGAACAGUAUUAAAGGUCGGACCCGAGGGUCUGUGGUUCAGGUCUUUGCGCUGCCAUCGGACUUGACGCUUGACUUGUCUCUGAGGAACUGUUUGUAAGAGGAAACUUCUCGCCAUGAUCAACAAAUACAUCAUCUUCGGACUUGCGGUCAUCGUCAUGUUGGC